CUCUCCCCCCCCCCCAGUUGUGUGUGAAUGAAAUGUGAUCAAUCUGCUUCCUGGCAGUUUUACCUCGAGCUCCUGUUGUCACACCAUUCCCCACCAUGAUGGCUCCAUCCCUCCGGAACUGUAAGGCUAACACAGGCUCUCUUCCAGCAUUUACAGAUGCUUUCUGAGUGGCCAGCUUGGGUGCUGAAGGACGUCACAAGCUUCAUCCUUCAUUCUCGAAGGGACUCUGGAGGAUUCUCAGGAGCACAUUUGCUGCAAGAAGGCAGAAGCCAUGGUAAGGCGAGCCACUGCCUAAGGACACACAGAUGGUGUUCAGCUGAGCCAGGAUUCUCUGGCAUGACACAGCCUGCGUACGAACCCACUCCGCUGUGCUUCUGUGAGGCGAGAGCCCUAUUGCACAGUGUGUUGGUCAGCCCUACCUGCAGUUAGUCCUCCAGACCAAGGGAACUGAGGGAAAUCUACAACCAAUGGGAACUGGCUAAGUUAGGGACCAAUACAUUCCCACAUCCCCAACCCCAAGCCCAUCCCUGUUAAUAAAUAAAGAGGUCCAGUGGCGCA
rnacentral:sRNA from 1 species